GGCAAGAGGAAGAGAGAAGAGGAAGCUUCUAGAUCCAAGCCAGAGGAGGUGGAUGCAGCAUCUACCGCCCACAGCUUUGGGGCCUGGCCCAGCCUCCACCUGGCCGAGACACCCAACCCUGACCCCACCCACAUGGGCGUGCAGAAGAGUCUGAGAUGGUGCACACUGACCCGUGGCAGAGUUACAGGUGACAUUUCUUUUGUUUCUACAUCCUAAAUCUUUCUACAGUAGAUGAACGUUUUGUAAGAGGACUUUUGCUGCCAGUUAGAAAUGCAUAUUGCUGAUGCACCCUCUGCAA
rnacentral:lncRNA from 1 species